rfam:Strongylocentrotus purpuratus Contig136277_fixed, whole genome shotgun sequence.
GGCAUGGUGGCUCAGUGGUUAGAGCGCCCGCCUCAUGAACGGGAGGUCGUGAGUUUGAACCCCGGCCGAGUCA